UACGAAGGGGGCUAGCGUUGUUCGGAAUUACUGGGCGUAAAGGGCGCGUAGGCGGCGUGUCAAGUCAGGCGUGAAAGCCCCGGGCUCAACCUGGGAACCGCGCUUGAGACUGGCAUGCUCGAGUUCGGGAGAGGAUGGUGGAAUUCCCAGUGUAGAGGUGAAAUACGUAGAGAUUGGGAAGAACACCAGUGGCGAAGGCGGCUAUCUGGACGGUUUCUGACACUAAGACUCGAAAGCGUGGGGAGCAAACAGG
rnacentral:rRNA from 1 species